ACACCUCCACCUACAUCCACCUCUGUGAUCUCCUCUGUUGGAUCAGUCUGUGUUGUGGUUCUACUGGUGUUACUGGUUCUGCUGGUGAGACGAUGUGUUCACAGGAAACCUGAAGAAGAUCAUUUUGAAGUUGCAGAAGAUGAUGUCUCAGAUGACAUCACAUACAGUGAUGUCAAAAUAUCAGAUCAUCAACAACAGCCUGUCAAACGAAGCAGAGAGGGUGAUCCAGCUGCAGUCUGUCCAGCAGUGAGAACAGAAGUCAGUUAUGGAGAAGUCGUCUUCAAAGAGAAGAAAAACUCAG